GCUAACUCCGUGCCAGCAGCCGCGGUAAUACGGAGGUUCCAAGCGUUGUUCGGAAUUACUGGGCGUAAAGAGGACGCAGGCGGAUAUGUCAGUCUAAAGUGGAAAUCCAGGGCUCAACCUUGGACUUGCUUUGGAUACUGCAUAUCUUGAGUACGUGAGAGGAAAGCGGAAUUCAGGGUGUAGCGGUGAAAUGCUUAGAUAUCCUGAGGAACACCAAUGGCGAAAGCAGCUUUCUGGCACGAAACUGACGCUGAGGUCCGAAAGCGUGGGGAGCGAACGGGAUUAGAUACCCGGGUAGUC
rnacentral:rRNA from 1 species